GAUGAAGAACGUAGCGAAAUGCGAUAAGUAAUGUGAAUUGCAGAAUUCAGUGAAUCAUCGAAUCUUUGAACGCACAUUGCGCCCUUUGGUAUUCCUUAGGGCAUGCCUGUUCGAGCGUCACAAAAGCCAACUCACAGAUACUGUGGUAAUGGUGAGAGUGGACUGGCCACAAAUCAGUCCAUCUUGCUGAAAUGUAUGGGCGGACCAGCUGCCUUGGGCCCCUGACGUAGUAACCAGUUGCCGUCAGAGUAGGGUUGGGGACAUGUCCUGCCUUGAUGGACCCCCCCCCCCAAAUUCAUAAUUUUCAUGGUUGACCUCGGAUCAGGUAGGGAUACCCGCUGAACUUAAGCAUAUCAAUAAGCGGAGGA
rnacentral:misc_RNA from 1 species